rnacentral:rRNA from 1 species
GACGAACGCUGGCGGCGUGCUUAACACAUGCAAGUCGAACGGAAAGGCCCUGCUUUUGUGGGGUGCUCGAGUGGCGAACGGGUGAGUAACACGUGAGUAACCUGCCCUUGACUUUGGGAUAACUUCAGGAAACUGGGGCUAAUACCGGAUAGGAGCUCCUGCUGCAUGGUGGGGGUUGGAAAGUUUCGGCGGUUGGGGAUGGACUCGCGGCUUAUCAGCUUGUUGGUGGGGUGGUGGCUUACCAAGGCUUUGACGGGUAGCCGGCCUGAGAGGGUGACCGGCCACAUUGGGACUGAGAUACGGCCCAGAAUCCUACGGGGGGCAGCAGUGGGGAAUAUUGCACAAUGGGCGGAAGCCUGAUGCAGCAACGCCGCGUGCGGGAUGACGGCCUUCGGGUUGUAAACCGCUUUCGCCUGUGACGAAGCGUGAGUGACGGUAAUGGGUAAAGAAGCACCGGCUAACUACGUG